UGCGCAUCACAUGCCCUGGGUGAUAACGGACUAAAAAAACCUGCAAAGUUUGGAUCUGUUCCUGUCUUAGAAGCCAGAAAAAUGGAGAAUUGAUAUUCAAAGGAGGUGAGGCAGAAGACACUACAGUGGUACCUCUGCGCAGCUGGGAAAGAGAGACAGCAAGAUAAAAGACUGCUCUAAUUGUAACUACAACUUACAGAAAAUACCUUCAAUAGUGGAACAUAUGAAAUGACACUAGAAGAAUGGAAACAGCAAAAUCCAGGCUUUCAGAAGCACUGAAAUUCAUAUUUCUGAUCCAUUUCUAAGAAUCAAAGUUACUAGAAACAUAUAUG